UAGAAAAAAAAGCAGGGGCUAUUUCAAACAGUGUGGUUCAAACUGAUUUAAUAGUGAAACGUGAAAUCAGUUUAUGAGAUCAAGAAAUAGAAUAGCACAGGAAAGAAAUUAUCUUAUUGUGUCUUAUACAUAAGGUCGUCAUGAGUAGGAGCACACUGGAUGGCAAACAUUGUUUCAUAAAACCGUUAAGUUAAAUAUUAAUUUACACCCGAAUUUAACCAACCCAAACCAACCCGUGGCCGUCUAGUCGAUUCCGACUCAUAGCGAACCUAUAGGGCAGGGUAGAACCGUCCCACAGGGUUUCCAAGGAGUGUCUGGUGGAUUUGAAUUGUUGACAUUUUGGUUAGCAGCCUUAGCUCUUAACCACUACGCCACCGGCGUUUUCCAGAACUUAUCCAGACUGAGUAAUUUUCAUGUGGAAGAAGACAUUCCAACUAUGCAUUUAUUACUAUGGAUAAGAUCAAAAAAGUAUCAAUAACAUUUAAAAUAUGCAAUGCUGGAAAAUUGCUAUGCCUGAAGCACGAAAAAAACAAAACAAGGGAAAAAAAAAAAAAACCUGCCAGAAGUUUGUUUUUUUACUUCCCUUGCUUUGAGCAUUGGAAAUUGUGUAUAUGGAAUGAGACCCUCUUUAUACCGCUGUGAAUAAAGUAGGAAUCUAAAUUUUUAUCAGAUUUGCACAUAUAUGAAUGUUCUUUCAAAGUAGUCACCCUUGAGGCAGUUACCUGCAACAUAUUGGAAUUACCUUCAGAGCCAGUGUACGGGACACAAAAGAAAAACUCAUUUCUUUAUUUUAUUUUUUUGGCUUUAACCAAGAGAAAUUUAUUUUCUCACAGUUUAGUAGGCUACAAGUCCGAAUUCAGGGUGUCAGACCCAGGAGAAGGCUUUCUCUUUGUUGGCUCUGGAGGAAGGUCCUUGUCGUUAAUCUUCCCUUGGUCCAGGAGCUUGUCAGUACAGAAACCCUGAGUCCAAAGGACUCGUUAUUCUUCUGACUCUUGUUUCUUGGUGGUAUGAGGUCCCUCAUUUCUUUAUAUUUAAACUGCAUUUCUGUUUUUGCUGUUUUUUUGACUGCUGUAUUUUGUCUCUUCAAUAAAAUCAUCCUAGCCUAUUUUUAGCCACCUUUUCAUCAGUGGUAACUUCAAAUGAUUUUUGACUUUUUCAAAAAAAACAAAUUUUGUAAUAAAAAUGGUUUAUCACUAUUAAGAUAUGGAUAAUGCAUUUAAGAAAGUUAAAUAACUUUACUAACCACCAUUGUUGUUGCAUGCUGUUGUGUUGAUUCUGACACAUAGUGACAGGAUAGGACAGGUAGAACUGCUCCAUGCGUUUUCCUAGGCUGAAAUCUUUAUGGGAGCAGAUUUCCGGGUCUUUUCUCCACAGAGCCGCUGGUGGGUUUGAACCGCUGACCUUAAAGGUAGCAGGCCAGCACUUAACCAUUGUGCCGCCAGAGCUCCAUUACCAUUACCCCAUGUGGCCUUCCCCAAAAGACCAGCAUUCACCCAGUUCUAAUCUCUGGCACAGCAAGUGUAUGUUUUGAAAACUGUUUCUAAGAGGAACUCCAAAAAUGUGUUUGAGGUUAGAAUUAAAAAAAACAUGUGACCAUGCAACAAACCCAUGUGACCACAGAGACUCAGAAAAGGCAUGGUUAGAAUAGUUAGAAUAGUUGGGAUUAAUCUGCAAAAGCUUCCUAUGGGUGAGUUUUAAAUCUAGGCUUCCCUGAUGAAGUGCAUAUUGCUCAUAUGCUCUGUGGCAGGGAUUAAAGCAAUAUUUGCUCAUUGUCUACUAUAUAAUUUAAUAAUAAUAAAAAGUUCCCAUUUAUUACUGACCUUCUUUGUCUUCCACACUGUGCACUGUGCUAGUCGCUUGGCACCAUUAAUCUUAACUGUUCAUAACAACCCUUUGAGGGAGAACUACCCCUGUUUAUUAAAAAAAAAAAAAAAUAGACAGGAUCAAAAAAUGUUAGUAGUUCCACUGUUUUAGGAAUUAGUGAAACUAGGAUUUAUCUCCAUUUGGCCAACUGCAAAACCCACUAUGUUUUCACAGUAUUAAGUGUCUUCUUUGUGGAAUAAAUGUAAAAAAUUUUGGCAUAUUCCACAUGUGGAAUAAACCAUUAAUCUUUAGCUAACAAGGUGGUACUGCCAUUAUAUACCACAGACAGCGGCACUAUGAUUGUGUAAGAGCUUUGAACACUGUACCUAACAAACUGCCCUAAUAACUACAUGGAGAGUUUAUCUGUAACAGAAGCACUUGAAAUAGACAAACACAGUUAAGUUUGCGAUAACUGCAGAUACUAUGAGUUCAUCUCUGUAAAGUGGCUCUGUAAACUGGCAGAAAAGAAUGUUAGCUAAAAUUGUUUAAGCAUAAGUUGGGGCUGUAUUGUUAGGGAUUUUUUUCUUUUUUUUUUUUUUUUACUGUGUAUUUUGAAUAUUAUAGAAGUACCAUUCAUAGAUAAAUUUCACUUUAUAGGAAGUAUUUAACCAAAAAAUUGUUCUUAUCACUGUUAUGGUAAUAUAAUUUUCGACAUGCAGUAAGAAACACAGUGACUUUUAUAAAAUAAAACAUGGUGGAAUUUUUAAAAAUUGGUAAUUUGGAGUUGGAGGGAAGAGUGAGCUUGUCCUUUUAGGUUUUUGAUGGGGAAGGAUUAAAUUAAAAAAAAAAAAAAUCUGUUGUCAUUGAGUUGGUUCCUAUUCAUGGCGACCCUAAAGCACAGAGUAGAACUGCCCCAUAGAGUUUCCAGGAAGUGCCUGAUAGAUUUGAACUGCUGACCUUUUGGUUAGCAGCCAUAGCUGUUAACCACUGUGUCACCAGGGUUUCUUGGGGAAGGAUAGAUGCCUACAAAAAACUGAUGAGCAGGGCAUGCCUAGAAUCAUAUAGCUGAUGAUGCUGGAGAAAAUACCAGAAACUGUUCUUGCCCUAGAGUAACAUGGCUCAACUCCAGCACAACCUUCCUAAAGGGCACUCAUUAAUGUGCAUUUAAAUAAUAUUUAGACAUAUUUGUUUUCCAAUAAAAAGUUUAAAUUUGACCAACUUAUAAGAGUAUUACUUCUAAGGCCUACGAGCUGAAUCUGAAGUUCACCUGCAUGCAGAAAAGAAAAACAAAAAAAAUUUUUUUUAGGUAAGAAAUUGAUUUUGAAGUGAUCAAAAUACUUAUGUUAAAUAUCCGUAGUUAGAAACAACCAGCAUGUAAUUUAGCAGUUGGAAAAAAUACCAUUUUGAGCUAGAAAUACGGAGAGUUGAUAUAUUAUUUAAGAAUGCAGAGCCAUACUUGAAACACACUUGAACUGAUUAUUAUAAUAAAGAGUAACAGCAGCAUUCAAUGAUGAUAAAGAUAUUUUUUUUUUUAUUUAGGGUUGCUAUGAGUCAGAGGAAACCCCAGUGGCAUGGUGGUUAAGUGCUAUGGCUGCUAACCAAAAGGUCAGCAGUUCAAAUCCACCAGGCACUCCUUAGAAACUCUAUGGGGCAGUCCUACUCUGUGUUAUAGGGUCGCUAUGAGUUGGAAUAGACUCAACCACAAUGGGUUUGGUUUUUUUCUUGGAUGAGGUGGAAUGGACUCGAUGGCAACAGGUGUGUGUGUGUGUGCGUGUGUGUGUGUAUGCGUGUGUGUGUGUAUUGACACCAUUGGAAACCCUGGUGGUGUAGCAGAAUUUGAAUUGAUUUGAUGGCAAUGAAUUUGUUUGUUUUUUGUUUUUUAUUGUCACUAUUUGAUAUCAACAUCUGAUUUUCAUUCUGAUAUAUGCAAAAAAAUUUUUUUUUAACUUUUUUCUGACAUCCAGUCUUUGAGUAACCAAUGACACAAAGGGAAACACUUAUUCCACAAAUUAUAUGUACAUUAAUCAAAUCAUUCUGUGAUAUUUUACUUAGCCUAUAAAUAUGUAUUUAUUGUUUAAUUGCCUAGAUUGAAAUCCACCUCCUAUCAAUAUCAUAAAGGCUUUCCUUGUUGAUGACUUCAUUUUUAACAAAGUCAGGUAACUGUUAAAACUUCAAAGCUUUUGAAGGUUCUAUUUUGAGACUACCACUGGAAAACAUUGCUAGCAACUUACUGAUUCUUUGUGAACUUAGGGAAAUAAUUUUCUGUUGAAGUGUACCUCUCAAAAACAGAUAAUCUAGAACAAAAUUUAUAGCAGCAUGGAUCCAAAAAGUGAUUUUUUAAAAACUCUGUUGCUAGGUGUCAUCAAAUCCAAAGUCUGUUCCAACUCAUCGUGACCCUAUCGGGCAUAGUAGAACUGCCCCAAAGGGUUUCCAAGGAGUGACUGGUGGGUUUGAACUGUGGACCUUUAGGUUAGCAGCCUAGCUCUUAACCACUACACCACCAGGGAAUCAUUUGAAAAGGGAUCUUGGAAAGAAACCUAAUAGUAUGUAAUGCGUAUUUAUAAAUUUAUGAGUUUAUCUAAAUUAUCUAUCAAAAAUAACACACAUAAAUAUACGUGAAAUGUUUAUAAAUUCUCAAGACCGAGGACCAAGUCAACCGUGGGAAUAACUUUCUCUUAAAAAAAAAAAAAAAUCCCUGAGUUUGAAGCCUUUCAGUAGUGACAUAGGAGACACACAGUUAUAAAGAAAAUGUAUGCCUUCAUCUGUCAAAGUCAAAACUACAAAAUUUGCUGACUUGGUUGCCUUCUGCCCCUCCAUUCCUCUAUUCCUACCUGCCUCACUUCCCUCCUCUCCCUCCUCUUUCUCUCCCUUCCCCUGCUUCCCUCCCUUCCAAAGGUUAUUAUGUAACAAUUCAGUCAGAGCAUCUCUUAGGCAUUAUGGUGGGUACAAAGGAAAGUUCAAGAAACUUGUAAUCUCACCAAGUUAAGGUAACAUAAAAAUCUUAUUUCUUAAAAAAAAAAAAAAAAAGUAAAAAAAUAUCGCCUUCAAAAUAUGGAAUACUUAAUUCAUCUUUACUUUAUAAUUGUAUUGAAAUUAAAACUAAUAUGUUCAAAUAUUUGGUUUUUCACUCCAAGACCAAUAAAAAUGAGAAUGCCACUAUGAGAAAAUGGCAUGUAUUAUAAUGAUAUUGUUUAUUGCUAGGCAACUGAAUUGCUUCAAGGGAAAUUUAACCCAUUUGACUUUUCGAAAGUUCUGUGUCUCAGAGAGAAAACAAUGUAUUUGAUAGAUGUGAGACAGAAGGCAGGAAGAAAUUUAAAAACUGGGUUUUGUUGUGAAACACUAAUAAUUUUUACCUUUUUAUGUAAAACCAAAAAACCACAUCUGUUGCCCUCAAGUCACUUCCAGUUAAUAGCGAUGCUAUAGGACAGAGUUGAACUGCCCCAUAGGGUUUCCAAAGCUGUAAUCUUUUUUUUUUUUUAAUUGUACUUGAGAUGAAGUUUUACAGAACAAACUAGUUUCUCAUUAAACAAUUAGUACACAUACUGUUUUGUGACAUUGGUUACCAAGCCCACAACAUGUCAACACUCUCUCUUCUUGCUCUUGGAUUCUCAAUCACCAGCUUUCCUGUCCCCUCCUGCCUUCUAAUCCUUGCCCCUGGGCUGGUGUGCCCUUUAGUCUUGUUUUGUUUUAUGGGCCUGUCUAAUCUUUGGCCGAAGGGUGAACCUCAGGAGUGACUUCAUUACUGAGCUAAAAGGAUGUCCAGGGGCCAUACUCUUGGGGUUUCUCCAGUCUGUCAGGCCAGUAAGUCUGGUCUUUAUUGUGAGUUAGAAUUUUGUUCUACAAUUUUUUCCAGCUCUGUCCGGGACCCUCUAUUGUGAUCCCUGUCAGAGCAGCCAAUGGUGGUAGCCAGGUACCAUCUGGUUGUGCUAGACUCAGUCUGGUGGAAUCUUUGGUAGUUGUGGUCUACUAGUCCUUUGGACUAAUCUUAUAUCUUUGGUUUUCUUCAUUCUCCCUUGCCCCCAACAGGGUGAGACUAGUGGAGUAUCUUAGAUGACUGAUCACAAGCUUUGAAGACCCUAGAUGCUACUCACCAAAGUAGAAUGUAGAACAUUUUCUUUAUAAACUAUGUUAUGUCAGUUGAGCUAGAUGUUCCCCAAGACCAUGGUCUCCACAGCCCUCAGCCCAGUAAUUCAGUCUCUCAGGGAGUUUGGAUGUGUCUAUGGAGCUUCCGUGACCUUGCCUUAGACAGUUGUGUACUGUCUUACCCUUCACCAAAGUUAGCACUUAUCUAUUGUGUUUUUCCAUCCCCACCCCUCCCUUCCCUUGUAACCAUCAAAGAUUGUUUCUUUUUGUGUGUAAACCUUUUCAUGAGUUUUUAUAGUAGCGGUCUCAUACAAUAUUUGUCCUUUUGUGAUUGACUUAAUUCACGCAGCAUGAUACCCUCCAGAUUGAUCCAUGUUGUAAAAGGUUUUGCAGAUUUAUCAUUAUUCUUUAUUGUUUCAUAGUACUCCAUUGUGUGAAUGUACCGUAGUUGGUUUAUCCAUUCAUCUGUUGAUGGGCACCUAGGUUGUUUCCAUCUUUUUGCUAUUGUGAACAAUGUUGCAAUGAACAGGGGUGUGCAUAUGUCUAUUCGUGUGACAGCUCUUAUUUCUCUAGGAUAUAUUCCUAGGAGUGGGAUUGCUGAAUCAUAUGGUAUUUUUAGCUUUCUAAGGAAGUGCAUAUCAUUUUCCAUAGUGGUUGUACCAUUUUGCAUUCCCGCUAGCAGUGUAUAAGAGUUUCAGUCUCCCUGCAGCCUCUCCAAAAUGUUAUUUUCUGUUGUUUUGAUUUGUGCUAGUAAUGUGGGGAUGAAAUGGUAUCUAAGUGUGGUUUUGAUUUGCAUUUCUCUAAUGGAAACCCUGGUGGUGUAGUGGUUAAGCACUAUGGCUGUUAGCCAAAAGGUCGGCAGUUUGAAUCCACCAGGCACUUCUUGGAAGCUCUACGGGGCAGUUCUACUCUGUCCUAUAGGGUUGCUAUGAGCCGGAAUCAACUCGACAGCAGUGGGUUUGGUUUUUUUGGGUUUUAAUGGCUAGUGAUGCAGAGCAUUUCCUCAUGUGUCUGUUAGCUACUUGAAUGUCUUCUCUGGUGAAGUGUCUGUUCAUUUCUUUUGCCUGUUUUUUUUAAUUGGAUUGUCUUUUUGUUGUACAGGUGUUGGAUUUUCCUGUAGGUUUUACAGAUUAGACCUUUGUUGGAUUUGUAAUAGCCCCCAACUUUUUCCCAGUCUGUAGGUUCUUUUUACUCUUUUGGUGAAGUCUUUUGAUGACCAUUAAGUAUUUAAUUUUUAGAAGAUCCCAGUUAUCUAGCUUAAUUUUUUUUUUAGCUAUGGUUUGUAUCCUGUUAAUGCCAUAUAUUAGGGUCUCUAGCGUUGAUCCUGUAUUUUCUUCUAUGGUCUUUAUAGUUUUUGGUUUUCUGUUUAGGCCUUUGGUCCAUUUUGAAUUAUUUUUGUGUAUGGUGUGAGGUAUGGGUCCUGUUUUAUUUUUUUACAGAUGGACAUCCAGUUUUGCCAGCACCAUUUCUUAAAAAGACUGUCUUUUCUCCAUUUGAUAGACUUUGGGCCUUUGUCAAAGAUCAGGUGACAACUGUACUUUUUGCUUCCCAAUGUUCAGGAUUAGGCCAUCUGGUCUCCUUUCAAAAAACCUGAGGGUGGGAACAACACAUUUAUAAAGGCACUUCUUCAUGAAGUUAUUAAUGUCUAUAAAAUUGACUAAACACGCACUUAUUAAGCCCCUGGAUGUUGGCAUUGUACCAGGCGAACAUGUAAGGUAGUAAGACUAACAUUCCUGUGGCCUUUUACAGUUUACAAAAAGCGGCUUCAGAAGAUGCUUAUGUUGCACGGUAACAACAGCACUGAAAUGGCAAAGAUAGCGGCAACUUUUCUGUUUAUUUGCAUCGCUUUCCUUAUUUUUAUUUUAUUUUUUUUCCUUAACUCCCGGACACCUCGAACGUUUAUCUCCUGUAGUUUGGCAGUUAUUUGUUGAAGUUUCCAGUACUCCAGUCGCUUGACCCCUUGUUUCUGAAUUCUGCCUUUUCCGGGUCAAGGCUCAAGGAUUGGGAGUAAUAUGAGCAUGCGCAUAAACUCAGGAACGCGGGACCGCUUGGCGCGUUCGCCAGGCCCAGCCUCCCGCCCCUUAACGAGCGGAAGCGGGUUGGCGACAGUGCGCGUGCGCAAACGCCGCUGAGCCGCUAGGGUAGUUGGUUAUUCCUGGAGAGCGCAUGGGCAAACUACGUCCGUUUGUCCGGACCGGAGGGGUGAGCGGCGCCAUUUUCUUCAACGCUCACUGAGGUCCCUACGCGUUUUGUGGAGGCUGCUGCGACGGGGAGUGUCCUCCUCAUACACAGCCUUGUGUGUCCAACUCGACAGCAGUGGUGUGUGUUUAUUGUCAAGUGCGAAGCAGUACCCUUUGGGCGUCGAGGGUGGGGGAAGGAUUGGCGACUAGACGGAAGAACAGGGAAAGGCGGGGCCGGGGGCCGCGCCAGACCUAGAGUAGCUUCUGUUGUGAGGGCACUUACUGUUUUUGCCUAACGUCGACUCUCCCGUCAGCUUGCAUGUGGUGGUGUUUGUGUUCGUGCGCGCGCUUCCCAGCGAUCUUGAGAUUGAAGAUUUCGAAGGAUUUUAUAGUUAAGUUGAUUUUACAGAAUUAACAGGUCUCCAAGAAAUUAAAAAAGGCACUGGUCACAUGGCAGUUGUAAAAUGGGCAUUUUAUGAGGACAAAUGAAAUCCAAAAGAUAACUGGAAUAAAAACAGUUGCAAAGGCUUUCUGCAGCAAAACCUUCAUAUUAUACAAAGUUUUUCCUAUAUCACCAUUCACUUCCCUCUUAUUUUUAUUUCUCCUAUUUACAUCUAGUAAUUGACUUUGUGAUCAAAAAAAGAUCUGACUAAAAUGUAUGCCAUUAUGUACUCUGAUACCACGCAGCUUAAGUAUUAGAACAGUUCUGAAGCUGAUAUUUUAGCAACUCCAGGUGAUGUUUAAACAACAGAAAACUGAUUAGGCAGGAACCACAUUCCAUCAUAUUUGUGAGUAUAUGCUACUUGUAUUCUCUAACCACCAAGGAUUAUUUGGUAAUAAUGAUAUUCCUACCACUAAUAACAAUACCAUACAUUUACAUAGAGCUUUUCCAGUUUACAAAUUUAUGACUUGCCUAAUGUUGCUCACAGAAUAUAAAACCUAGACCUGAUUCUUCUAAGGUUCUAGCUCUUGCCCACUGCACUGUGCUGUUCUUGCUAGAAUCAUUUUCUUCACAAACUGUGCAGGUACACUUCUUAAGAGUGAUAAAGACUUGUGACAAAGAAGAUCAUGAGCAAAGAGAAUGAAUGAAGAUAUGCAAGUUGAUAUAGGCAGGGGUAAGAUAGUCAGGUAGGGAAAGGAUACAAACCAGAGACAUUUUCAGUAAAAUAGGAUCUUAUCCUUUUGUUAAUUUCCUUGUUCUAUAUGAAAAUCAAAGCCAAAGCAUUAACAUAGAGCAAACUGGGCAGAAUGAGAAUGGGAACAGGGAGAAAAUACCCAAGUACUGUCCUUAAAAAGACAAGAUGGAAGAGAAGGGCUAAGUUAGAAGGCAAUAGUCAAAUACCCAUUUCUCUUCAUCCCUGCUCUCCUGAGACAACCACCUAAACAGGAGUGGUCCUGUACUUUGAAAUAAAGCUAUAUAGAUAUCUAUCCGGGUUCUGUGAUUUCUCCAUCUCUAUUUAUUCAUCAGGGUGGUGUAGUGGUUAAGUGCUAUGGCUGCUAACCAAAGGGUCAGCAGUUCAAAUCUGCCAGGCGCUCCUUGGAAACUCUAAUGGGCAGUUCUACUCUGUCCUAUAGGGUCGCUAUGAGUCGGAAUUGACUCGAUGGCACUGGGUUUGGUUUGGUUUAUUCAUCAGGAAAAACCAAACAUUAGAAGAGAACACUGUGUUUGGUAGAGGGACGAAGAAAGGAGGAAAACUCUCAGUGACACAAUAUCCACAACGGCUGACUCAAACAUGCCAAUGAUGAUGAAGACGGCACAGGACUGGGCAAUGUUUCACCCUGUUAUACACAAGGUCACCAUCAGUCAAAGCUGAUUGACAGCAACUAAUAACAAUUCUUUCCUAAACAAUUAGGAAAAUAACAAGCUUCUGAUUGUUACUCAAUGGAAACAGGUAUGUAGUUGAAAGUAUCUUUUCUUGGCUGCUAGGCACUUUGAGUAUGACCAACAAUGACCCUUACUUUCACUUCAGAUAGGUCACAGAGGACUCUAGUGUAAUGGGCUGACAGCCAAUUAUUAUAAUAAACAUUAUGCCAAAACACUAUUUUGGAUUUUGUAAUCAAUCUCCAGAUAUCCAGGAAUAUGUUGGAAUGGCUAUUGACCAGGGCUGGAACUUACUCUCUUAGUUGUCAGCCUCCCUAAGGCAGUUGCUAACCAGAAAGGAGUCAAAUGCCUUUUAGAAGUGCCGAGGCUCUCAAAGACAAAUGGAAACACUGAGGACCUCUGUGUGGUUCUUUGAAGCCCAUUUCAGGUUAACAGGAAAAAUCAAGAACAGGCUUACAUCUUUCCUUCUGAAUAUUAAAUCCAGAUGUUCUCCAUACUUAGUGAAUAAUCAAUUAUAUAAAAAACAAUACAGAAUUAUUUUGACUUUCUUUUUAUCCAAGGCUAGAAUGGAACAUUUUGUUUUUCAAUUACUUAGGCUUAAGAGUAGAAUUACUGACAGCUUCUACAACAAAUAGUUGCGCUACAGCCACAGAAUAAGCCCCCAGACUUGUUUCGUUUAAGGUGAGGUCAGAGGGAGAUGGAAAACACACAUUUUAGAUUGUCAGUAAACUCCCUGUUUCAGUUUCUCUGUCUUCGGUGGAUAUUUAGAGAUCGUUUAUUUAGCCUACGUGGAGAGAGAAGGGGAAGGUACAAAAGUACCUGAGCAGUAAGUACAAUAGCUUCAAAAGAAACUGAAAAAAAAGCUUCAAAGGGUUAAGUCUAAAUCACUCAAGGAAGGUGGGUAUUAUUCCUAGUCUUAAAUAUUUGUUUCAUUCAUUGACAUUCUAUUUAGUAGACUGUCACGCUGUUUAAUAACCAGUGAAGUUCAAACAUUUGUAACCUCAUUAAACCUAAAUCUGUAGGUCUAGAAUUAAUUCAAAUCUAUUCAACUCUGGUAACUCUGGAACAUGCCAAAAUUUCAAAAUACUCAAUAUUUUUCAGAUAUUUGAAUAUAGUUAUUCCUGAUGCUUACAAUCUGUCAUUUCUAAACUAACAUAACUUUUUUAAUACUAGCAUUUUACAGGAGUUUUAGUCAUCCCCUUAGCUUUUAGGUAAGCCGUGAAAAAUAUGCAAAUAUAUUUGCCAAUGAAGAAAGGUACAUUAUUUUUGUUUAUUUAUAUCAUCUGAAAGGAGAUUCUACUAUGUGCUCAUUUUUAAAAAGACAAUGAUCAACUUUGACUAUGUUAGCAUUUUCCACUCUUAAAAUUCCAUUUUUUAUAAAAUACCUUUGUAAACAGAUAUUUUUACACUAGUACUAAAAAGAUAUGAGGGCGGAAUCACUCAAACUUUGUGAUACUUUUUUUGGCUUCGCCCUUUAUGAUUUGAAUUUUUAUUUCUUUACAAAUCCUAAAUCAUAUACUUAUUUAAUACAGGAAUGGCCUUGUUAAUUUUUAUAUUGUUUAUUUUUCUGUUAAGAACAGGGAAUUGGUGGUACUGCUAAGCUAGUAUCCCAGACUUGGGAAGAUUAUUUGGAAGAGCGAAGACCCGGACAACAGUAGGGGAGGGAAAGCUGCCAGUUAGAUUCUUUUCCUUCUAGCUACAAUUUCAUAAAGUCUGCUGAAAACAGGUAGGAGGGAGGCAAAUAACAGCAAAGAGCAGACAAGUUUGAUGACAACUGGUAUAAGGAAAAAACAUAAAAGCAUCAUUCCAGCUCUGGCCCAUACCAACAUUGGAGCAAUCAUAGUUAUCUUCCCAAAAAGCUGUUCCUAUGAUCAAAUUUUCCAUAAAACCAGAAUAAAGCUCAGUUACUGAAAAGUUUUUGAAAUAAAAUAAUUGCAGUGAGUUGCCAGAAAGGGGUAGAACUUUCUAGGACCCAAUUACAUUUAGAAAUAAUUUUCCUCAAAUGUAGCUAACCUUCAACGAUCUCAUGUAAUCUCCUUAUGUGAACAGGUCAAUACAGUCAGGUGCAGAGGCAUUAAUGAGUUAUUUUUCUUUUUCAAUAUGUUGUUGUUAGUUGGAAACCCUGGUGGCAAAACGGUUAAGCCCUACGACCGCUAACCCAAAGGUCGGCAGUUCAAAUCCACCAGGUGCUCCUUGGAAACCCUAUGGAGCAGUUCUACUUUGCCCUAUGUGGUUGCUUUGAGUUGGAAUUGACUCGACGGCAACGGGUUUGGCUUUGGUUUUUGUUCGUUGCUGUUGAGUUGACUCUGACUCGCAGAAUCUGAAAUUCUGUAUAUAACCAUACAUAAGGCAGGGCUGCAUCAUAGCUAAGAAUACGGGCUUGGAUUAAGACCUGGGUUCAAACCAUGAACUGACAUACUAGCUAUGUAACGUUAGGCAGCUUAUCUGCUCUUUGCCUCAUAUUCCUCACCUGUACAAUGGGGAUAACAACAGUAUCAACCUCAUAGGUCUUGAUUAAAUGAGAUAAUUCAAGAAAAAAUAUAGCUUAGAGUAACUUUUCAACAAAUGUUAGCUAUUUUUGGUGCUCAAGAAGUAAACCAGCCAAAUUAGAAAAUGUUCCUUCGUCAAUAAUUUUAAAGUUUCUAUCUGGUUUGAUUAGCAAGCAAGCAAGAUCCUUAAUGAAAAAAGUUAUAAAAAAAUCCAGUUAACAUUUUGGCAAAGAGAGAAGAAAUGACAGCUCUCCAAACUUAACUCAGAGUAGAGGCUUUUUAAUAAAUGAUGUCUGGAGAACUUUCUAUCCAUCUGGAAAUAAUUAAGUUAGGUCCUUUACCCUAUGCAAAAGUAACUGCCAAAUAAAAUAAGUAUUUAAAACAUUAAAAAAUAAUACAAAUACCAAAAGAUAUAAGCAAAUAUCUAUAUAAUCUUGGGAGUGAAAACAACCUUUAUAAACAUGACAUCAAAAGCACAAACAAAAAAAGAACAAGAGCUAUGGCAACAAAAAAAAAAAACUUCAAGGUGGCAAAAACUCACCAUAAGCAGAACAUGGGAAAAUGUAUUUGCACCAUAUCUUCUCUUUAACAUAAAGAUUAAUUUCUCAAUAUAUAAAAAUUUUUUACAAAUUAAUAAGAAAAAUGCCAAACUCCAAUAAAUAUACAUGCUAAGGAGAAGUGUAAGUAAUUUACUAAAGAAGAAAUAAAAUUUGUCAUUAAAAAUAAAAACAAAAAAAUGCCCCACCCCAACAAUAACAACAAAUUAAGAUGAGAUACUGUUUGUUCACCUAUCAGAUUGGCUGUUAACAAAAAUACUAUUACUCAUUGCUGUUGCACUGGGGCACUCAUGCAGGGUUUGGUAGGAAUGUCAACUGUUGGAAUCUUUGUGGAGAGAAGUUUAAAAAUAAGUAUCAAAAUUUAAAGUGUGUAUGCUCUUUUGAACCAGCAACUCCACUUCUGGUAAUUUAUCCCAAGAGAAUAACUGAACAAGCCCAAAGACCAAUGAUUAAGGAUGUGUAAGGAUGCAAUGAUACCUAGUACUGCAAAAAUAACCUAGACGUCCAUCAUUGAGGACUGGUUAAAUAAAUUAAUAUGUCCAUAUAGCAAAAUACUAUGAGGAUAAGAAAAAAGAUAUGGUUCUCCUUUUCUGAGUGCAGAAGUAUGUCCGUGACAUUAAAUUUUAAAAAGAGAAAUGCUACAUUCAGUGUGGCCUAUUUAAAUAUAAUAUGGGAGUAAUAACAGUACCUUCCUCACAGAGAUGCUGUGAGGAGUCAAUGAUUUCAUGCACAUAAAAUGCUUGGAAGAAUGCCUGGCACAUGGUUAAUAUUUAAAGAAUGUUAUUAUUACCCAUGUUACCAAAUCUCUGUGUUUAUGUGCAUAGAAAAAAAUGUCUAGAAGGAUAUAAAACAAAAUGCUGGAUUAUGUUUGAGGGGUAGAAUUACAUUUUUCUCCAUAAUUUUAUAAAAAAAUUUUACGAUGAUUUCAUACUUCUUUUGUAAUAAAAAAAAAAGCCAUUAAAAAUUAAGUUUAGAAGAUGUUUCUUGCUCGUGUUGACUACUUUAUGACAUACUGAACUCCUAUUUUCAUCUGUUCCAGGAGUAACCCCUGAUCAAGAUCCUCUUUAUAGGUCUGAAGUUCCCUAUCACAUGGGACACAAACGUUCUUGUUAGCUGCCAUCAAGUCAGUUCCGACUCAUAGUAACCCUAUAUACAACAGAAUAAAACGCUGCCUGGUCCUGCACCAUCCUCACAAUCAUUGCUAUGCUUGAGCCCAUUUUUUAGCCACUGUGUCAAUUCAUCUCAUUGAGGGUCUUCCUCUUUUUUGCUGAUCCUCUAUUUUACCAAACAUGAUGUCCUUCUCUAGGGAUGGAUCUCUCCUAAUAACGUGUCCAAAGCAUGUGAGACGUAGUCUUGCCAUCCUUCUUUCUAAGGAGCACUCUGGCUGUACCUGUUCCAAGACAGAUUUGUUUUUUCUUUUGGCAAUCCAUGGUGUAUUCAAUAUUCUUUGCCAACACCAUAAUAUAAAGGCAUCAAUUCUUCGGUCCUCCUUAUUCACUGUCACAUGCAUAUGAGAUGACUGAAAACACCAUGGCUUGGGUCAGGCGCACCUUGUCUUCAAGGGGACAGCUUUGCUUUUUAACACUUUAAAGUGGCCUUUUGCAGCAGAUUUGCCCAAAGCAAUGCUUCAUUUGAUUUCCUGACUGCUGCCUCCACAGGUGCUGAUUGUGGUUCCAAGUAAAACGAUAUCCUUGACAACUUCAAUCUUUUCUCUGUUUAUCAUGAUGUUGCUCAUUGGUCCAGUUGUGAGGAUUUUUUUUUUUUUUUUUAUGUUGAGGUAAUCCAUACUGAAGGCUGUAGUCUCUGAUCUUUAUCACUAAGUGCUUCAAGCCCGCUUCACUUUCAGCAAGCAAGGCUGUAGCAUCUGCUUAACACAGGUUGUUAAUGAGUAUUCCCCCAAUCUUGAUGCCCCGUUCUUCUUUAUAUAGGAUUAAUGUGAUUUUUCUCCCUUAUUCUGUACACCAAAUUACAUACCAAUUCUUUCUUAGAAAGACAAAUUAUUUGCAAGGUUCUAUGCAAAAUCUUUCUCUGAAAAAAUCAGGCUACUUUGCUAGUUAAUGCAACUACCAAAAUUCAGAUGGACUUGUCCAUUAAACUCACCUUAAACAUGGUAAUGGAAUUACGAGCAAAGCUCACCACUGCUAAUCAUCUCUGCCCCUAUCUAAAGCAAUAGCCUGAUUACAGGCAAGAAUGUUGUUUCUACCAAAAUAUAAGUGGGAUUAGAAUUUUUGAUUUUUUGAAGGAUUUGUCUCACAAACAGAGGGCUGAAAUCCUCAUGGCAAUAUCUAAAUAUUUUUAUUAGAAAUAAGUGGGGCGGCCCUUUUUGAUUGCUCUUUGGAGAUAUUCAUUUCAUGCGAUUUCUGCCUCCCCUCAGUAUCAUAAAAGAUCCCCAAUGGGGUCUACCUUGAAGACGACACAAUUUGACGGUGAGGAGGAAAGAGAGGCAGACCAAAUUCAGAACCCUAACAGACAGAUUCUGUGGUACUGACUUCGGGAGCUCAUAUUUAUGGGAGUUUGCUAGAGCUGUGGGGGUGUGCAUUAAAAGUGUAGGUUGUCACAGACGAUAUGAUCUCGUGUAUAAAAAAUCCUAAGGAAUCUACUAAAAACUGUCAGAAUAAACAAGUUCAACAAGGCAGUAAGAUGUAAGAUCAAUGUACAAUAAUCAAUUGUAUUUUUAUACAAUUGCGAUAAACAUCCAAAAAUGAAAAUAAGAAAGCAAUUCCACUUAGAAUAACAUCAAAAAAAUAAGACUUAACAAAAAAACUUUUACUCUGGAAACUACAAAAUGUUGUUGAAAGAAAUUAAAGAUCUAAAUAAAAGGAAAAAUAUGCCAUGUUCACCAAUGACUGCCCUGACAGGGAACACAACUGAGAACCCCUGAGGCAGCAGGAGAGCAGUGGGAUGCAGACCCUAAAUUCUCAUAAGACCAGACUUAAUGGCCUGACUGAGACUAGAAGGACCCCAGUGGUCAUGGCCCCCACACCUUCUGUUGGCCCAGGACAGGAACCAUUCCCGAAGCCAACUCUUCAGACAUGGAUUGGACUGGACAAUGGGUUGGAGAGGGAUGCUGGUGAGGAGUGAGCUUCUUGGAUCAGGUGGACACUUGAGACUAUGUUGGCAUCUCCCUGGAGGGGAGAUGAGAGGGUGGAGGAGGUUAGAAGCUGGCGAAAUGGACAUGAAAAGAGAGAGUGGAGGGAGAGAGCCGGCUGUCUCAUUAGGGGGAGAGUAAUCGGGAGUGUGUAGCAAGGUAUAUAUGGGUUUUUGUGUGAGAGACUGACUUGAUUUGUAAACUUUCACUUAACCAAACCAAAACCAAAUCCAGUGCCGUUGAGUCAAUUCCGACUCAUGGCAAUCCUAUAGGACAGAGUAGAACUGCCCCAUAUAGUUUCCAAGGAGCGCCUGGUAGAUUCAAACUGCCAACCCUUUAGUUAGCAGGUGUAGCACUUAACCACUACACCACCAGGGUUUCCAACUUUCAUUUAAAGCACAAUAAAAAUUAAAAAAGAAAAAAAAAAGCCAUGUUCACGAAUGUAAGACUUACUUUGUUUGGAUGGCAAUAACCGCCCCUCCACCCCAAAACUGAUAAAAAGUCAGUGCGAUGCCUAUCAGAAUCCCUAUUAGAAAUUGCCACGUUGGUACGGAUUUGCAAGGGAUCCAGCAUAGCUACAAUCUUGGGAAAAAAAAAAAAAAAAAGCAGGACCCGAUUUCAAUACUUAUUACAAAGCAGAGGUAAUCAGGCAAUGUGGACUGGCAUAAGAACAGACAUACAGAUCAAUGGAACAGAACUGAGAGUCCAGAAGUAAACCCAUGUCUCCGUGGUCAACUAAUUCUGACAAGGAUGAUAAGGUCAUGCAGUGGGGGCGAGGGGAGGGGAAACACUCUUCUCAGCAAAUGGUGCUGUGAUAAUUGGAUAGUCACGUGCAAAAGAAUAAAGUUUGGCCCUUACCUCACACAAUAACUCAAAAUGGAUCAAAGAUUUAAGUGUAUGUGCCAAAGCUAUAAAGUUGUUAGAAGAAAACAAAGGUUUAUGACCUUGAAUUUGGCAAUGGAUUCAUAGAUAUGACACCAAAAUCAUAAGAAACACAAGAAAAACAUAAUAAAUUGCACUUCACUAAAAUUAAAAUUAAAACUUUAUGCAUCAAAGGACAUUACCAAGAAAGUGAAAAGACAACCCACAGAAUGGGAGAAAAUACGUGCAGACCAUAUACCUGACAAGCAGAGAACUCUUAGAAUUCAAUAAUAAAAAGAGCCUAAUUUAAAAAUUGGCAAAAGAUAUAAACUGGUAUUUCUCCAGAGAAGAUAUACAAAUGACCAAUAAACACACGAAUAGACAUCAUUAAUCAUUGUUGUUUCUGUUGUUAGGUGCCACCGAGUCAGUUCCGACUCAUAGAGACCCUAUAGGUCAAAGUAGAGCUGCCCCAUAGGGUUCCUGUGGAGCGGCUGGUGGAUUUGAACUGCUGAUCUUCUGGUUAGAAGUCAAGCUCUUAACCACUGUGCCACCAGGGCUCCUCAUUAGUCAUUAGAGAAAUGUAAAUCAAAACCACAACGAGAUACCCCUUCACACUCACUAGGAUAUAAUCAGAAAGACUGAUAACGUGCUGGCAUGGGUGUGGAAAAAUGUGAACCCUUGUGGACUGCUCGUGGGAAUGUAAAUGGAAUAGCCACUUGGGAAACAGUAUGGCAGGUCCACAAAAUGAUUAACCACAGGAUUACCAUAUGACCUAGCCAUUCCAGUCCUAAGAAUACACCCAAGAGAAAGAAAACAUAUGUCCACACAAAAAUCUGUACACGAAUAUCUGUAGCAGCAUCAUUCAUAAUAGCCAGAAAGUGUAAAUCAACCAAAUGCCCAUCAACUGAUGAACGGAUAAACAAAAUGUGGUACAUCCAGAAAACGGAAUAUUAAGGAAAUGAAGUACUGAUAUCUACUACAAUAUGGAUAAACCUUGAAGAUACUAAGCUUAAUGAAGAAUGCCAAUCACAAAAGACCACAUAUUAUAUGAUUCCCCACGUUAUAUGAUUCCAUUUAUAUGGAAUGUCCAGAAGAGGCAAAUCUAUAGAGACCAAAAGUAUAUUAGUGGUUGCUUAGGGCUGGGGACAAAGAGGGAAAUAGGAGUGUAAUAACUGAAGUGUAGGGGGGUUCUUUUUGAGGUGAAAAAACUGUUCUAAAAUUGACUGUUGUGACGGUAGCACAUAUCUCUGAAUACACUAAAAAUCAUUGAAUUGUACACUUCAAAUAAGUGAAUUACAUGGUAUAAGAAUCAAUGCCCAUGGAAAUAGCAAUCAAGAAAUCAAAUGACGUAUCGCAUUGGGCAAAUCUGCUGCAAAAGACCUCUUUAAAAGUGUUAGAAAGCAAAGAUGUCACUUUGAGGACUAAGGCCUACCUGACCCAAGCCACGGUACUUCCAGUUGCUUCAUAUGCAUGCGAAAGGUGGACAAUGAACAAGGAAGACUGAAGAAGAAUUGAUGUCUUUGAAUUAUGGUAUUGGCGACUAAUACUGAACAUACUGUCGACUGCCAGAAGAAGGAACAAAUCUGUCUUGGAUGAACUACAGCCAGAAUGGCUCCUUAGAAGCAAGGAUGGCAAGACUAUGUCUCACAUACUUUGGCUAUGUUAUAUGGUGGAACCAGUCCCUGGAGAAGGGCAUCACGCUUGGUAAAGUAGAGGGUCAGCAAAAAAAGAGGAAGACCCUAAAUGAGAUGGACUGACACAGUGGCUGUAACAAUAGACUCGAACAUAGCAAUGAUUGUGAGGAUGGUGCAGGACUGGGCACUGUUUUGUUCGGUUGUACACAGGGUCCCUAUGAGUUGGACCCAACUCAACGGCACCUAACAAUG